UUUUAUUGAUUAUAUUACAAGAUGAAUUACAAAGAAAUAUAACUUACAAAUUUACUAGAAAAAGAACAUUAGAUGAAUGGGGGUUGAGUAGGUUUAAUCAGCGGUUGAGGCUAAAGAUUUAUCAGAGAAGGAACUCUGAGUCUUUCUACGUCUGCCUAAACCAAAUGAAUUCGAUUUCCUUUUAUAGAACAAGGAAACGAACUGUUACAAGAUUACUAUUACAAUAACCGGGGUAAAGUAAAAGUAAGAAACAUUUUAC
rnacentral:lncRNA from 1 species